rnacentral:rRNA from 1 species
AGGGGUUCUGAGAGGAAGGUCCCCCACAUUGGAACUGAGACACGGUCCAAACUCCUACGGGAGGCAGCAGUGAGGAAUAUUGGUCAAUGGACGAGAGUCUGAACCAGCCAAGUAGCGUGAAGGAUGAAGGUCCUACGGAUUGUAAACUUCUUUUAUAAGGGAAUAAAACCUCCCACGUGUGGGAGCUUGUAUGUACCUUAUGAAUAAGCAUCGGCUAACUCCGUGCCAGCAGCCGCGGUAAUACGGAGGAUGCGAGCGUUAUCCGGAUUUAUUGGGUUUAAAGGGAGCGCAGACGGGUCGUUAAGUCAGCUGUGAAAGUUUGGGGCUCAACCUUAAAAUUGCAGUUGAUACUGGCGUCCUUGAGUGCGGUUGAGGUGUGCGGAAUUCGUGGUGUAGCGGUGAAAUGCUUAGAUAUCACGAAGAACUCCGAUUGCGAAGGCAGCACACUAAGCCGUAACUGACGUUCAUGCUCGAAAGUGUGGGUAUCAAACAGGAUUAGAUACCCUGGUAGUCCACACGGUAAACGAUGGAUACUCGCUGUUGGCGAUAUACAGUCAGCGGCUUAGCGAAAGCGUUAAGUAUCCCACCUGGGGAGUACGCCGGCAACGGUGAAACUCAAAGGAAUUGACGGGGGCCCGCACAAGCGGAGGAACAUGUGGUUUAAUUCGAUGAUACGCGAGGAACCUUACCCGGGCUUAAAUUGCAAAGGAAUGAUCUGGAAACAGGUCAGUCUUCGGACCUUUGUGAAGGUGCUGCAUGGUUGUCGUCAGCUCGUGCCGUGAGGUGUCGGCUUAAGUGCCAUAACGAGCGCAACCCUCGCCGCCAGUUACUAACAGGUAAUGCUGAGGACUCUGGCGGGACUGCCAUCGUAAGAUGUGAGGAAGGUGGGGAUGACGUCAAAUCAGCACGGCCCUUACGUCCGGGGCUACACACGUGUUACAAUGGGCGGUACAGAAGGCAGCUACCUGGCGACAGGAUGCCAAUCCCGAAAGCCGCUCUCAGUUCGGACUGGAGUCUGCAACCCGACUCCACGAAGCUGGAUUCGCUAGUAAUCGCGCAUCAGCCACGGCGCGGUGAAUACGUUCCCGGGCCUUGUACACACCGCCCGUCAAGCCAUGAAAGCCGGGGGUACCUGAAGUGCGUAACCGCAAGGAGCGCCCUAGGGUAAAACCGGUAAUUGGGGCUAAGUCGUAACAAGGUAGCCGUACCGGAAGGUGCGGCUG